GACGAACGCUGGCGGCGUGCCUAAUACAUGCAAGUCGAACGCAUUUUCUAUCAACGUAGCCUGCUACACCGAAAGAAAGUGAGUGGCGAACGGGUGAGUAACACGUGGGUAACCUGCCCAUCAGCGGGGGAUAACACUUGGAAACAGGUGCUAAUACCGCAUAAUUCCAUUUACCGCAUGGUAGAUGGAUGAAAGGCGCUUUUGCGUCACUGAUGGAUGGACCCGCGGUGCAUUAGCUAGUUGGUGGGGUAACGGCCUACCAAGGCUGCGAUGCAUAGCCGACCUGAGAGGGUGAUCGGCCACACUGGGACUGAGACACGGCCCAGACUCCUACGGGAGGCAGCAGUAGGGAAUCUUCGGCAAUGGACGCAAGUCUGACCGAGCAACGCCGCGUGAGUGAAGAAGGUUUUCGGAUUGUAAAACUCUGUUGUUAGAGAAGAACAAGGAUGAGAGUGGAAAGUUCAUCCCUUGACGGUAUCUAACCAGAAAGCCACGGCUAACUACGUG
rnacentral:rRNA from 1 species